ACGUGUACUCCCAACCGAAGGUCACGAUUCAACUUGUACUACUAUAAGUACUCCUUCAUGUACCUCGUGUAAAGACUAAUGCAAGAUUCAAUACAAGAAUAAUUACUACAUAUUUCACUCUCUAGCAAUGCAUACGAGUUUACAUACAUAUUCACCAACCGCGAUUGGUAAUUAGUGUACAAUCGUUGUAUAAAUGUCUCGUCGAAUUCCAAACGUUGUUGUCCCCUGCCUUUGAGUCGCUCUCACGCCCUUUAUCAAAUCUAAUCAGAUCGUCCACCUGUCUUAGCGUGUUGGACUAGACUUGCGUGAGCGCGGGUGGGUCUGAUAUCCGUUGUCCAACCGGAAAUUAUUUUUAAGUUUUUCUUCAUGGUUCUUGGACAAUGCUAAAAAAAUUCAAUAUACAAUGUUAACAUAAAUUUUAUAAUUAUUUCGUAAUUACAAAAAAAAAUUAAAUGUACAAUGUGUACAUAAAUAUUUCACAAUAUUUAUAAUUAUUUCAUAAAUAAAAAAAUGUAUGCGUACAAUAUUUACGAAUUACGAUUAAAAUCAUAUACAGGGGCCAGAAGAAGAAUUAGCAUAGAUUAUUAGCGUGCUUAUCAUCCAACUGCUCCAAUACGGUACUGAAAAGUUUCUGUUCAAAGAAGCUUUUCAAACCAUCCGUCUCAACUCCAUGACUAGAUGGUUAUCCAUUUUGCAAAAAUUUGAAUGUCAGAAUACUGUACAAAAAAAAAUGGAAUAAAGCAUAACAACGAAAAAUUGAGUGAAUUGAAUUAUAACUAUUGUACACAAGACUUAGAAUCAUUUUACAUCGAUGCUAAUAAAAAAAAUGAAUUAUCAAUUACACCGAUGAUAAUUAUCAAUUUAAAAUUCUUUAUUAAAUUAUAUAUAAAAAAUUUAAAAAUGGAAAUUAUUAAAAUUAAAUAAAGAAUAUAAAUAUUAUUUAAUUAAAAUUGAAAAAUUGAAGAUUUCUUUAGAAAGAAAUAUUUAAGUAAAUAAUUUUAAAAAAAAAAUAAAGAAAAAAAUAUUUGCUAAUUUGGUUAAAAGGAAUAUUUAAUUUUGGUAAUUAUCAAUUUAAAAUUCUUAAUUAGAUUUUAUAUAUAAAAACUUUAGAGAAAUGAAAUUAUAAAUAUUAGUAAACAAUAUAUAAAUAUUAUUCAGUUAAAAUUAAAAAAAAUAUAAGAUUUCUUUAAUUUUGGUAAUUUAAUAAAAGGAAUAUUGAAUUUUGGUUAAAAAAAUAAAAGGAAAAAAAAAUAUUUGGCUAACUUGCUUAAAAGGAAUAUUUAAUUUUUUUAAAUAUCAAUUCAAAAUUCUUCUUAAACAAAUAUUAAAUUUAUCAAUUUUAAAUAGAUAAUUACCAAAAUUAAAUAUUCCUUUUAACCAAAUAAGCAAAAUACAUUUUUUCCUUUUACUUUUUUUUUACCAAAAUUAAAUAUUCCUUUUAUUAAAUUACCAAAAUUAAAGAAAUUUUCAAUUUUUGCAAUUUUGAUUGAAUAAUAUUUAUAUUCUUUAUCUAAUUUUUAUAAUUUCAUUUUCUUUAAAUUUUUUUAUAAAUAAUCUAAUUAGGAAUUUUAAAUUGACAAUUACCAAAAUUAAAUAUUCCUUUUAACCAAAAUAUUUUCUUUUUACCAAAACUAAAUAUUCCUUUUAUUAAAUUACCAAAAUUAAAGAAUUCUUCAAUUUUUUCUUUUUUAAUUGAAUAACAUUUAUACCCUUUAUUUAAUUUUUAUAAUUUGAUUUUCUUUAGAUUUUUAAUAUAUGUAAUCUAAUUAAGAAUUUUAAAUUGAUAAUUAUGAAAUUAAAUAUUUCUUUUAACGAAAUUGACAAUAUAUUUUGUUCCUUUCAUUUUUUUAACCAAAAUUAAAUAUUCCUUUGAUGAAAUUGCCAAAAUUAAAAUACACUUCAAUUUUUUCAAUUUUAAUUGAAUAAUUUUUAUACAUAAUUUUUUUUGAUAAUUAUCAAUUUAAAAUUCUUAAUUAGAUUAUAUAUAAAAAAAAUUAAAGAAAAUGAAAUUAUAAAAAUUAGAUAAAGAAUAUAAAUAUUAUUCAAUUAAAAUUGAAGAUUUCUUUAAUUUUGGUAAUUUAAUAAAAGGAAUAUUUACUUUUGGUAAAAAAGUAAAAGAAAAAAAAUAUUUUGCUUAUUUGGUUAAAAUGAGCAUUUAAUUUUGGUAAUUAUCAAUUUAAAAUUGAUAAAUUUAAUAUUUGUUUAAAAAGAAUUUUGAAUUGAAUUGAAUAUUAAACAUGCAAAAAAGGGAAAAAUUUAGUUUAAAAGAACAUACAAAAAUAAAGGGAAAAAAUAAUUCUGGUUAAAAAAUUAAUUAAAAAAGAAAUUUUUUUCAUAUUAUCAAAAAUUAAAAUUAAAAGCAAAAAAAUAUUUAAAUUAAAUAAAGAUUAAAGAAUAUAGAUAUUAUUUAAUUAAAAUUGAAACAACAUACAAAAAUAAAAGGGAAAAAAUAAUUUAGGUUAAGAAAUAUUUAAUUUGUUAAUUAUUUAUUUAAUUUUUUUUAUUUUAAAAGUUGAAUUAAUAUUUCUUAAUUUAAAAAUGUUAACCAAAAAAAUAUAAUGUAUAUAUAAAGCAUAACAAAAAAAUAAUUAUAAAAACAUAAAAUACAUUAAACAAAACAAAAGCGAAAACUUAAAUAAAGAAUAAAAAUAUUAUUUAAAUUUGAAGAUAUUAAAAAAAGGAAAAAGAAAAAAGAAAGAAAGAAAGAAAGAAAGCGUGCACUAACAAUCAUCCCACUGACUUUUAACAGCCAGCCCACUGAUUGUUUAACAGUCGGCUGACUGUUAAUAGCCGACUGUUAAACAGUCAGUCGACUAUUUUCAACUGUUAAACAAUCGGUCGACUGUUAGGCUGGUUGUUUAAUAGUCGGCCCUUUUUCUCAUCGAAAAUUUUUCUCAUCGAAAAUCACCAUUUUCGACGAGAAAAACUCCCAUCCACAAAAACAUCUAAAUCUACCCUAGUAAUCAACCAUCUAUCCUAAAUAACCAACAAUAAAUUGAGAAAUGUUAAUUUUAAUAUUCACACCAUUAUAUUAAUAAUCAAAAUCAUUAUCUAAUUUACAGAACAACUGAAAACACAAGAAGAAGAAGUUCAGCAGAGACGGGUUGUUGGUGAUGGUGUUGAUUGGUGACCGAUCUCCGAUCGACUGGAUCCGACUAUGGUGAGUGUUUUUGUUUACGUGUUACAUCACUGUUUGGCACAAGAAAACAAAUGGAAAGUGAAGGAGCAGGAUCGGUAUUUUUGAGUUUUGAUCUUUAAAUUCAAUUAUUCAUUUUUAAUUUAUUAUUUUUUUUUAAUAAAAACAGUCAAAGGCCAAAGUGGAAAUAUGGUCAGGUCAACCGGCCAUUUCCACUUAUUUCCUCUGUCUAAAACGGAUACUGGCUUGAACUACUUAUACACACAAUGGAUAAUUGGAAAAACAACCUUGAUUAAGGAGCGUAAAUUGACGAUAAUGUUUUCCAAGACGAGAAAAUAUAAUUUCCAAAGAAUGUUUUGGGCUCUUUGCAGAUUUCAUUGGCAAAAAAAUAUGUUAACGCUUUACAUGAAAUUCAGAACCCCCCAAUCCCACUCCCACAUGCACCUCAUUUGCCUGAAAUAAAAUCAAAAAUUCUUAAUUUACUAUCUUGUGCAUCUACUCCUAUGCGACUCAUAUUCAUUGAGAGAACUAAAAUAAUACCAAAUUUUGAUAUUCAGAGAUAAUCCGACAAUCCAACCAUGUCCGAAAAGUAAAAGCAAGAAGCUUUCGUCACUGAAAAAUGAAAGAAAACAAAUGCUGAAGAACUUACAGACUGAAAAAAAAAAUGCUAAUGGAAUUUUUUUGGAUCGAAUUCCUAAAAGCCUGAAGCAAAUUUGGAUUCCCCCCAUCCCUAUACGUUACUUCAAAGUGCGAAGCCAUGGACAACUUUGAUGGGUAUAAUUUUUUUCGCUAGUUGAAGCAACAGUUGGAUAUAUACAAAUGUUGAAGAUUGUUCUAAAGUAAUGGUACGUUUCUGAACUAAUCAAUCUUCUCCACCAACUUUAGGCCAUAAGCCUCGACAGUGGAGCAAUAACGGCAAAAAAACGAAAUAGAGAAAAAAAUAAAAAAAUAGGUCAGUUACCUCUUGUGCAAAAACGAAUAUGGUUUUGCUCCUUUAUAAUCAACAAAAAGGAAAGCCCGAGAGAAGAGCAGGAAGAUUUGUGGCAGAGAGAUUUAACGGGCACGGC
rnacentral:lncRNA from 1 species